GACGAACGCUGGCGGCGUGCUUAACACAUGCAAGUCGAACGGAAAGGCCCCUUCGGGGGUACUCGAGUGGUGAACGGGUGAGUAACACGUGAGUAACCUGCCCUUGACUUCGGGAUAACUUCAGGAAACUGGGGCUAAUACCGGAUAGGAAUCCUUGCUGCAUGGUGGGGGUUGGAAAGCUUCGGCGGUUUUGGAUGGACUCGCGGCUUAUCAGCUUGUUGGUGGGGUAGUGGCUUACCAAGGCUUUGACGGGUAGCCGGCCUGAGAGGGCGACCGGCCACAUUGGGACUGAGAUACGGCCCAGACUCCUACGGGAGGCAGCAGUGGGGAAUAUUGCACAAUGGGCGGAAGCCUGAUGCAGCAACGCCGCGUGCGGGAUGACGGCCUUCGGGUUGU
rnacentral:rRNA from 1 species